rnacentral:lncRNA from 1 species
AGUCAUUUUCCUAAAUCCAGGCGCCCACCUGUAUAACGAGAGGAAUACAUUCAGUCUUUACUUUUCAGGUGUUGAAAUUGGGAGCCCGCCCAAAGAACAGAGGCAUACAUUCAGUUUUUACUUUCAAGUAUUGAAAUUGGGAGCCCGCCCAUAAUAACAGAGGCAUACAUUCAGUUUUUACUAUCAAGUGUUGAAAUUGGGAGUCCGCCCAUAAUAACAGAGGCAUACAUUUCAGUCUUUACUUUUCAGGUGUUGAAAUUGGGAGCCCGCCCAUAAUAACAGAGGAAUACAUUUAGUCUUUACUUUCAAGUGUUGAAAUUGGGAGCCCGCCCAUAGAACAGAGGCAUACAUUCCAGUCUUUAAAUUUCUUGCCAGGCGCCCACCUGUAUAACGAGAGGAAUACAUUUCAGUCUUUUUUCAUUUCAAGUGUUGAAGUUAGGCGCUCACCUGUAUAACAAG